rnacentral:lncRNA from 1 species
GUGAUAGGCCGUGGUUUACUGGAGGGGACAGAACUGUGAAUAGUUGAAGCCGUGAGGUCGGGAUGAUCAUCUCCUGCAGUCAGCUGCUGAGUGUGUGACCUGGAGAGGGAGCAAAGGCUAGACUGAAGAUCCAAACAAACGCGGGUGGCAGCAGCACACACGCGCACAGCAUGGGAAAAAGAGAGGGGAGAGGUGCCGAGGAAAAGGGAGGGGCCGGAGAAAGAGGCGGGAGGGAACAAAACAAGGGAAAGAGUUACUCUGCGAGUGGGAGAAGGAAGAAAGCUGCGGUCCGCUUGAGUUUGACGCCAGGCAUGCGGCAUCCUCGGCACAGCACGGAACCAAAAUAGAGCCGGGAACGUGGGGCGCGUUUCAGGAAAAGGGGACUGCAAGGAGAAGGGAAGCGUUAAUUCCCAACCAUGAAUCCCAGCAGCUCUCUACGGAGGGGUUUGUCCUCCCUUCGCGAUGCUUGGAGGUGGAGUACAGGUUACCUGUUCAAGGGCUCAACCAAAUCCUCCAAGAGCAUGGAGUCUCGACACAGACCAUCCAGGAGCUUGAGUCUGAUCCAGGCCAUGGAGGAAAACUAUGAGGUGGACCUGGUCUACAUCACAGAGCGCAUCAUUUCUGUGAGCUUCCCCAGUAAUGUAGAAGAGCCAAGCUACAGCGCUAACAUAAAGGAGGUCGCCACCAUGCUACGCUCCAAACAUGGUGACAACUACUUGCUCUUCAACCUCAGUGAAAAGCGAUUUGAUAUCUCCAAGCUGAAUCCCAAAGUGCUGGAUUUUGGCUGGCCGGACCAUCACGCUCCAGCCCUGGAUAAGAUCUGCAGCAUCUGCAAAGCCAUGGACACUUGGAUGAACGCUGACAGUCACAAUGUGGUGGUCUUACACAAUAAGGGAAACCGAGGUCGAACGGGGGUAGUUGUGGCUGCAUACAUGCAUUACAGCAACAUAUCAGCGAGUGCAGACCAGGCUCUGGACAGGUUUGCCAUGAAGCGGUUUUAUGAAGAUAAAGUGCUUCCUGUGGGUCAGCCCUCUUCCUGUGGGUAUGUGCAGUACUUCAGUGGUCUGCUCUCCGGCCAUAUCAAGAUCAACAACAAGCCCCUGUUCCUGCACCACGUCAUCAUGCACGGGAUCCCAAACUUCGAGUCCAAAGGAGGUUGCCGCCCUUUCCUCAAGAUCUACCAGGCUAUGCAAUUUCCUGAAUAUGGAAAAGUGGAAUUUGUCUUUUCUUUCGGCCCAGAAAAAAUCCAAGGAAUGGACCACCUUGAGAACGGGCCCAGUGUUUCUGUGGACUACAAUACCCAAGAUCCUCUGAUUCGCUGGGAUUCUUACGAGAACUUCAACCAGCACUGUGAAGAUUCAGAGGAGGACGUUAUUCACACACAAGGUCCAUUGGAUGGUAGUCUCUACGCUAAGGUUCGGAAGAAAGAGUCUCUUGAGGGAGGGGUCACAACCAAUGGUCUCCCAGCCAGUGUCGAUCACACUUUACCUGCUGUAGACCACACUCUACCACCAGUCGACCACGCCCUGUCUGUAAGCAGUGACUCGGGCAACUCCACUGCUUCCAUCAAAACCGACCGCACGGAUGAAGCCAGCCAUCAGCCGGCCUUACCCCUCAGCCCAGAGGAAAAACAGGAGCUGGACCAGUUGCUCAGUGGCUUGGAAGCACCAAUGCAACGCACAGGUUACCAAAGCAGCCCUGGCAGCGGAGGCGGUGGAGUCCUACACCUCGUCCCCGCCCAGGUUCAUGUCAAUGGACACAACAACAUAGACCGUGAGACAGAUAUCCUUGAUGAUGACCUGCCCAACAGUCAGGAAGGGAACAGUGCGGACAGUCUCGGGACCAUCUCGUCUUUUGAGGGCAGAGCCACUCCAGCAGAUCUGUACUACCAGCCAGAGACGGUCAUUAAUGGAAAAGAUGCACAAGAUGACUUAGAGAAGGGUGUCCACAAGAAAAUACCAGAGCCCAAAGUCCAAAGCUCCUCAUCUGUUCAAGAGCUCUUAGGGUCCUCUAGUGGCUUUGCCAACCAGAAUGGCAACAUCUGCCGAUCUCAAUCAUUAGGGGCAGCCCCGACCACAGAGCAGAAGUACAUGCCCAAAGCUCCCACACGCACGAUUAGCAGUAGGGAUGCAGUGCAAAGGGGACUGAAUGUGUGGCAACAAUAUGGUGUUCCUGAGGUCCCAGUCACAGAUGGGGUCACCUUCAACCCUGUACUACAGUCCCACAGUCUUCCAGAGUUUCCUCACAUGGCAUCUCAGCAAGAAAUUGAGCAGUCCAUUGAAGCACUUAACAUGCUGAUGCUGGACCUUGACCCAGCACUUACACAAGUCCCCAAGUCCCAUAGUGCCCCAUCUGGAGAUGGUGGAGUGGUCACCACUCAACCAUCAAACCCAUUAUCACAAACCCAAGCACGGCCGUCCUACCAAUCUGACACAGCCAUUCAUGGCCGUGGUGGAGUCUCUUGGGGGGGAUACCCUUCGACCUUUCAACAGGUAGCCGCAGAGCCUCCACAACCCACCAUGAACCAGCAGAGACCCACAGCCAUAUCCCAGCAUGCUGCAUUCCCUUCUGAGGCAGAAGGUUGGGCUCCAAUGUCCCAGUCCACAGUGCCUUCCACCGCCUUUGGAGUUCUCCAUUUGAAACCCCUCAACAUUUACCCCUCAAGUUCCACGUCCCAGUCCCCUGAGCCCCAGGAGAGUCAGCGUAGCUAUUCUGCCUCCUCAUCCCCUCUACCUAAAGAGUCUGAACCGGAAGAUGCCAACUACAAACUGGGUGGUCUUGUAGCUCACCGUGUAGCUGGAGUUCAGUCUGGUGAAAUGUCACCAGAUGAGACUUCAGUUCCUGGACGGUGCCGGACCAUCAGUGAGGACCUUUCCCAAGAUGAAAGCCCAACCCGAGGAAGCUCAGUCCGCUCCCCCAUCCGCUGCAUUUCACCCGAGUUGGCCAAUACGAUUGCUUUGAACCCUGGGGGGCGGCCCAAGGAGAGACACAUGCAUAGCUACAGAGAAGCGUUUGAGGAAAUGGAUGGGGGUCCCGUCAGCCCCCCUCCGAUCGCUAGUCGAUCUCCACCAGGACUGGCCAAAACACCACUGUCCUUCCUGGGCUUGAAACCCCACAACCCUGCUGAGAUACUGCUCAACCAGACAGGUUCAGAGCCUCGUAGCUAUGUGGAGUCUGUGGCCAAAGCAGCUGCAGGUGGGCUGCCAGCGUCGCCUGUGUCUCCAACAUAUGACAGCAACAGCUUUGCACGUCCUGUCGGGCCGUCCCAUGCCUACAACGCUCCUCUUUCCUCCAGCAUGUCCACUACCCUCAUUGAAAGCACAUUGACUGACAGCGGGGUUGGGUUGAAUUCUUUGUCCCAGGCUGCUGUCGACUCUAUCCUUCACUCCCAGCCCUCCGAAAGCACAUACCAAACACCUACACCCUCUUACCCCACCUCUAGCAGCAUGUUGGGUGGCUACAUCACUCCUGAUAUCAGCCCCUCUCUGCCAGAGACCAUGCAAAAUAACGCCACCACCAUCCAGCCACUCGCCGGAAGCCCUGGCACAAGACACCAAGCCGUCCUGCCCGACAUGAUGUCCGCUCCCGGUCUCCAGCACAGAAUACCUAAUCAGGAUGUCCCCAUUCUGGCCCAACAACCAACCCCGGCCAAUGGUCAUCUGCCUGGAAUGGCCGGUAGUCCCAUGCAAGGAAGACAUGCAAUGGUGUCUCAAGGAACGCAGAGCAGUCCGAUGCUGUCCAGACACCCCGUCCUCAACCAACAGGUGUCCCUAAAUCAACCAAUCAUUCUGCCUAACCAAAGCAGCCCGGUGUUGAGUAGACAGCCAUCCGUUAGCCAACCCAACCAGGGCAGCCCCGUCCUGAGCAGGCAAUCCCCACUUACACAUCCCAGUCAGGGCAGCCCCGUUCUGGGAUGCCAUCCGUCCCUAAUGCAGGGUAGCCCCAGUCUGGACAGGCACCCAAUGUACAGUGGUUACACUACUCCAGAAGAGCGACACGGAGCCCUUUCGCGCCAGAGCAGCUCCUCUGGAUACCAGCCACCAUCUACACCUUCUUUCCCAGUCUCUCCGGCUGGAUACAUAGAUGGAGUGGGAUUCAGACAGGGCAGUCCUGCCCCCCAACCUCAGCUCCCCGAAAAGAGACGUAUGUCCAGCAGCGAUCGCUCUACUGGUGGACUGUCCUACGGAACGCUCAACGGGAAGAUGUCCUCGCCAGUGUCCAGUGGUGGCAGCACUCCAAGCGCUCAUUUCUUCCACACGCUCCCUGAUUUCUCCAAACUCAACAUGUGCGAAGGAAGUCCAGAGACCAGUCUGCACGUGAAGUUUGUCCAGGACACGUCCAAAUUCUGGUAUAAACCAGAUAUCUCCAGAGACCAAGCCAUCAACAUGCUGAAAGAUCAAGAGCCUGGAGCCUUUGUCAUUCGGGACAGUCAUUCAUUCAGAGGGGCCUACGGCUUGGCCAUGAAAGUUGCCUCACCACCUCCGACUGUGCAACCUACAAAGAAAGCUGGAGAUGUCACUAAUGAGCUGGUGAGACAUUUCCUGAUUGAGACGAGUCCGAAAGGCGUGAGACUGAAGGGCUGCCCUAACGAGCUGUACUUUGGCUGCCUGUCUGCACUGGUCUACCAGCACUCAAUCACUCCACUGGCUCUACCCUGCAAACUAGUCAUACCAACCAGAGAUCCUCUAGAGGACUCUCCUGUGAUCGCAACACCAACUAACCCAGCGGCAGAGAUGCUCAAACAGGGUGCAGCAUGCAAUGUCCUGUACAUAAACUCGGUGGAUAUGGAGUCUCUGACUGGGCCUCAGGCCAUCGCCAAGGCCAUCUCAGAAACCAUGGUAGCCAGUCCCGCACCUUCAGCCACUAUUGUUCACUUUAAGGUGUCGGCACAAGGCAUCACUCUCACUGACAACCAGAGAAAGCUUUUCUUCAGACGUCAUUAUCCCAUCAGUACGGUCACGUUCUCAUUAACUUUAACCACAGCAGUCAAUCAAGGCAGCACGACAGACAACGUCAGUCACCUGUUCGCCGAGAUGGAUCCCAAUCAACCGGCCACGGCCAUCGUCAGCUUUGUCUCUAAAGUGAUGACCAACUCUCAGAAGCAGUGA